rnacentral:rRNA from 1 species
UACAGAGGGGGCAAGCGUUGUUCGGAAUUACUGGGCGUAAAGGGCGCGUAGGCGGCCUUCUAAGUCGAACGUGAAAUCCCCGGGCUCAACCCGGGAACUGCGUCCGAGACUGGGAGGCUAGAAUCCGGGAGAGGGAUGUGGAAUUCCAGGUGUAGCGGUGAAAUGCGUAGAUAUCUGGAGGAACAUCGGUGGCGAAGGCGGCAUCCUGGACCGGUAUUGACGCUGAGGCGCGAAAGCCAGGGGAGCAAACGGG